rnacentral:rRNA from 1 species
UUUCUAACAGGAUUAGAUACCCUGGUAGUCCACGCUGUAAACGAUGUCGAUUUGGAGGUUGUGCCCUUGAGGCGUGGCUUCCGGAGCUAACGCGUUAAAUCGACCGCCUGGGGAGUACGGCCGCAAGGUUAAAACUCAAAUGAAUUGACGGGGGCCCGCACAAGCGGUGGAGCAUGUGGUUUAAUUCGAUGCAACGCGAAGAACCUUACCUACUCUUGACAUCCAGAGAAUUCGCUAGAGAUAGCUUAGUGCCUUCGGGAACUCUGAGACAGGUGCUGCAUGGCUGUCGUCAGCUCGUGUUGUGAAAUGUUGGGUUAAGUCCCGCAACGAGCGCAACCCUUAUCCUUUGUUGCCAGCGAUUCGGUCGGGAACUCAAAGGAGACUGCCGGUGAUAAACCGGAGGAAGGUGGGGAUGACGUCAAGUCAUCAUGGCCCUUACGAGUAGGGCUACACACGUGCUACAAUGGCGUAUACAAAGAGAAGCGAACUCGCGAGAGCAAGCGGACCUCAUAAAGUACGUCGUAGUCCGGAUUGGAGUCUGCAACUCGACUCCAUGAAGUCGGAAUCGCUAGUAAUCGUAGAUCAGAAUGCUACGGUGAAUACGUUCCCGGGCCUUGUACACACCGCCCGUCACACCGGUGGGAGUGGGUUGCAAAAGAAGUAGGUAGCUUAACUUCGGGAGGGCGCUUAGUCGAUUUUGAUGACCGUAGGGG